rnacentral:rRNA from 1 species
UGGGGAAUAUUGGACAAUGGGCGCAAGCCUGAUCCAGCCAUGCCGCGUGUGUGAAGAAGGCCUUCGGGUUGUAAAGCACUUUCAGCGAGGAGUAAGGGUGGUGUGUUAAUAGCACAUCAUUUUGACGUUACUCGCAGAAGAAGCACCGGCUAACUCUGUGCCAGCAGCCGCGGUAAUACAGAGGGUGCAAGCGUUAAUCGGAAUUACUGGGCGUAAAGCGCACGUAGGCGGUUUUUUAAGUCAGAUGUGAAAGCCCCGGGCUCAACCUGGGAAUUGCAUUUGAAACUGGGAAACUAGAGUGUGUGAGAGGGGGGUAGAAUUCCAAGUGUAGCGGUGAAAUGCGUAGAGAUUUGGAGGAAUACAGUGGCGAAGGCGGCCCCCUGGCACAANACUGACGCUCAGGUGCGAAAAGCGUGGGGCAGCAAACAGGAUUAGAUACCCUGAUAGUCCACGCCAGUAAACGAUGUCUACUAGCUGUUCGUGACCUUGUGUUGUGAGUAGCGCAGCUAACGCACU